CCUCUAUCUCACACGAAACAACACAGUGAACAAGAUGACAUGCCAACAACGAGCAGUUUAAUAACAAGUUUUAGUUUGUUUGUUUAUUUUGCAUUUACAAAGAAAUGUGCUCGUAAUAUUUGUGAUGUUUUAAUAUGCUGCAAAGUUAUGGCUAGAGAGUUCAUUGACUGUCACUGUCACAUGUCAGCAAACGAGUUUACACAGGACACAGAUGAAGUUAUUCAGAGAGCUAAAAAGGCUGGAUUGAAAGCUCUGGUUGCUGUUACAGAGGGAGCCAGUGAGUUUGAGAAAGUUAUUCAGUUGUCAAAAAUAUAUCCUGGUUUUAUAUUCCCUUGUUUUGGCAUUCAUCCCCUUCAAGGAUCUGCACAAGACUUGCGUAGUGUCAAGAUUCAGGACCUGGAGCCAUUCCUUCCUUUGUUCCAGAAGUACAGAGAUAAUAUUGUUGCAGUUGGCGAGAUUGGUCUUGACUUUACUCCCUGGUUUGUUCAUACUACUCAAGAGCGUGAUGAACAGAUAAAAGUCUUUGCAAAACAACUUGAAAUGUCUAAAGAAUUGGAUUUGCCAGUGAAUGUACAUACCCGCUCGGCAGCCAAGGUUGCCAUAGCCACAAUGAAAGAACUAGGGAUUAGACAAGCUUUAUUGCAUAACUUUGCUGGGAAGACAUCAGUUGCCAUGGAAGGUGUUCAGGCUGGAUUCUGCUUCUCGUUUCCUCCUGCUGUCAGCAAAAAUGAGCAGAGAGCGAAAUUAAUCAGACAAAUUCCACUGGAGCACAUUUGCCUGGAGACAGACUCUCCAUCCUUGGGGCUUGACAAACAUAGUACAUCCUGCCUACACUGCAAGCAAGUGAUUCCAUGGAAUUAAACACAUCUAGAUAAAGCGUUCAUAAAUGGGAGACAUAUCCAGCUGCAGACCCGCAGCACCACCAGUUUCAGAACCCCAGCGCCAGAACCUGAAGUGAGGGGCGGAGUUAUUGACAAUGAGACAAGCAUGGCAGAGAGCAUGAGACAUUUCGAAUGAAUGAAGACCACAAGGAAAAGGCCCGCAACAAUCUCCUGGAACAGUCAGAAGCUUCCAGAGAGCCCUUUCUAUUUCAUUUUGUGUUCAGGGAUGACAUGGAGUUAUUUUAGCAAGAAUGUAAGGACAAAAUGGGCCUGAGAGUGAAUUCCUCAUUUGAUACAUUUUAAGUUUAAUUUAUACAGGAUUGUCAUGAUAAAAUGGGCCUAGGGGUGAAUUGGUCAUUUGUUGUAUAUAUUUUUAUUGUUUCUUUUAAAAUU